UGGGGAAUAUUGGACAAUGGGCGAAAGCCUGAUCCAGCCAUGCCGCGUGUGUGAAGAAGGUCUUCGGAUUGUAAAGCACUUUAAGUUGGGAGGAAGGGCAUUAACCUAAUACGUUAGUGUUUUGACGUUACCGACAGAAUAAGCACCGGCUAACUCUGUGCCAGCAGCCGCGGUAAUACAGAGGGUGCAAGCGUUAAUCGGCAUUAUUGGGCGUAAAGCGCGCGUAGGUGGUUUGUUAAGUUGGAUGUGAAAGCCCCGGGCUCAACCUGGGAACUGCAUCCAAAACUGGCAAGCUAGAGUACGGUAGAGGGUGGUGGAAUUUCCUGUGUAGCGGUGAAAUGCGUAGAUAUAGGAAGGAACACCAGUGGCGAAGGCGACCACCUGGACUGAUACUGACACUGAGGUGCGAAAGCGUGGGGAGCAAACA
rnacentral:rRNA from 1 species